rnacentral:rRNA from 1 species
UGCNGUUGUACGAGAGUCAUUGACUUUAGUAGCGGACGGGUGAGUAACACGUGAGAAUCUGCCCUUAGGAGGAGGAUAACAACUGGAAACGGUUGCUAAUACUCCAUAUGCUGAGAAGUGAAAGGAUAUUUCCGCCUAAGGAUGAGCUCGCGUCUGAUUAGCUAGUUGGUAAGGUAAAAGCUUACCAAGGCGACGAUCAGUAGCUGGUUUGAGAGGACGAUCAGCCACACUGGGACUGAGACACGGCCCAGACUCCUACGGGAGGCAGCAGUGGGGAAUUUUCCGCAAUGGGCGAAAGCCUGACGGAGCAAUACCGCGUGAGGGAUGACGGCCCGUGGGUUGUAAACCUCUUUUCUCAAGGAAGAGGUUCUGACGGUACUUGAGGAAUAAGCAUCGGCUAACUCUGUGCCAGCAGCCGCGGUAGUACAGAGGAUGCAAGCGUUAUCCGGAAUCACUGGGCAUAAAGCGUCUGUAGGUUGUUUAGUAAGUCUGCUGUUAAAGACUAGGGCCUAACCCUAGGAAAGCAGUGGAAACUGCUAGACUUGAGUAUGGUAGAGGUAGAGGGAAUUCCUAGUGUAGCGGUGAAAUGCGUAGAUAUUAGGAAGAACACCAAUGGCGAAAGCACUCUACUGGGCCAUAACUGACACUGAGAGACGACAGCUAGGGGAGCAAAUGGGAUUAGAUACCCCAGUAGUCCUAGCCGUAAACUAUGGAUACUAGAUGUUGCACGUAUUAACCCGUGCAGUAUCGUAGCUANNGNGUUAAGUAUCCCGCCUGGGAAGUACGCUCGCAAGANUGAAACUCANGGGNAUUGANNGGGCCCGCACAAGCGGNGGAGUAUGNGGUUUANUNCGAUGCANCGCGAA